UUUUAUUAGUGUUCGUCUUUAACUGUUUUGAUAACCGAAAUGACAUUCUUUAACAAAAUCUAUAUAUAAUUAUUAGACACACACCUCACAACCCAACGAAAGGAGAACCCCUAUUUGUUGGAAAUUGUUUUGUUUAAAAGUGUUUUUGUUUUGUGACUAGUUUUUUAUAACCUAUAACCUAACUAGAUAACAUUUUUGUAACAUUUAAUUUUGUUUCUUUUUAUUAUUUUUUAUUAAAACAAUUUUAUUGGUGAUUGUAAAAGAAUUCAAAGUUUUCAUUCAAUUAUUGGUGGAAUCAAAAGGCAUUUACCAAUGAGUGAAGAAAACUUAUUUGAAACUAAACGUAGAAGCCAAAGGAACAGCACUUUGUCAUUUGAUGUUAGCAGAUUAUCGGGGCAAACAUUGCCGAAAUAUAGGAAAAGGGAUAAGAUUGGCAAUAUGGUAAAUCCACCUCCUCUUAUUAAUCCAUCCAUACUUGAUAUGUCUCAGACUAUCAGCGCAACUUCUAACCCCAAUUGUAAUACUUCUAAUAUGCUCCCUAAUGGUAAGUCAACUAGUUCUUUUCAUAGUUCCACGCCAGCUAAUGACAAUAUAAACAAUGUUUUGAGGGAAAUGGUAGAUGCCAAUGCACAAAUAAAUUUAGGGCAACUAGUGCAGGAAUGUAUAUGUAUGGAGAUGAAAAAAGUAUAUGAAGCCAUUGGUAAAUUAGGAAACAUAGUAAAGAAUUUGAAUAUUGGCACGAACGCUCCGAGCAAUCAACCUAACAACGCCUCUUUUUCGUUUCCAAAUCCACCUCCCAUAAUCGAACCCAACAGACAUCCAGAGAUGCAAUCGGAAUAAUAGGAUGUUUGCAACUCCCGGUCCCAAUUUGGAUAGACCAAGUAGAAAUUAAAGCUGAAAUUUGAUGGCAAUCCGUCUAGCAUGUCUGUUGGAUACUUUGUGUUUCGACUCGAAUACCUAAAGAACCAAUACAAGGUGUCAUGGGAAGAAAUCUUUGCCGAGUUCCAGUCUACUCGCUGGUCGAUCGAAUUUUGAUCGAUCGAAUUUUGAAGUCAUGAGCUAGAUAGUCUACAGAAAAUUAAAACCAGGAGAAGGAAUCGAUAAUUUUUCCAAUCCAUAAAUACUUUGAGAUCCAGGUCAACCCAUGUAGUGGGGAGAGCUUAUUCAGAUCGUAGAAAGAAAUUUAAAGGGAGAAAUUUUUAAGAUGAUUUACACAAUGAACAUUAGUUCUAUGGAACAGCUCAGGAUGGAGUGUAUCUUAGCAGAAAAGACAUGCACAAAACGUGAAACAAGAUUCAUGCCUCCUCCUCCGACCCGACACGUUAGGGUAAACGAGCUAAAUACCGAUAUUAAUGAUUAUAACAUAAAUUACUAUGAGGAUGAUCAAGUUCAGGAUGUGUCAUAACUAAAAACCGAUCCAAUCGGUUGAAACUGUGAAAAACAGGUCAUAGGUUUAUGGACCGUUUAUCCUCACAAAGAUCGUUGUUUUGCUACCGAUGUGGUCAACCCAAUACCGUGGCACCAAAGUGCCCUAGGUGCAAGUCGGAAAACUUAUGCCCGGAUCUUGAGCAAUCAUUGUAUUUAGGAAUAGAUUCCUGGAAAGCGUUCCACUUAGCUCCAGACGUAUUAGAAGUAAAUGAACUCGACAUUGCAAAGAUUCAAGCCAAAUAUGCAGAUGAUAAUGAAUUUAAAAAGAAAAACAUAAUCUUAGUGCCGAUCAAGAGGAAAAACUUAAUCGAGUGAUGAAGAAAUUUCCUGCGUUUGAAAAAAUGGGUCUUGGUCACACCACACUUGAAUAACACACUAUUAAGAUAGUGGAGGGUACAAAUCCUAUUAAGGAUAAACAUUACCCCAUUUCACCAGCUAUGCAACAAAUUGUUUAUGAAGAAUUGGAUAAGAUGAUAGGGCUGAAGUAAUAGAAGAGAGUGAAAGUGCGUGGAACAAUAGGACGACCAUCGCUAGGAAACCCGGGAAAAACCCAUUUUUUGGUUUUUUUUUUGUUUGGAUGCGCGUAAGUUAAAUGCCGUAACCAUUAAAGACGCGUAUCCAUUACAAAAUAUCAACGGGAUACUAAGUAGAAUUGAUCAGACGGUAUUCAUAAGUAGCGUAGAAUUAAAACAUGCCUUUUGGCAGAUAGAGCUGGAUGAAGAGUCGUGGCCAUAUACGGUUUUUACGGUCCCUGGUCGUCCGCUCUAUCAAUUCAGAAUGAUACCAUUCGGCUUGUGUAAUACCGCACAACGUCUAUGCCGACUUAUGGAUAAGGUCAUACCGGCCCGACUUAAAUCAAACGUAUUCAUAUAUUUGGAUGACUUACUGGUUAUAUCAGAAGAUUUCGAAACUCAUUUGAAAUUAUUAGAACAUGUAGCGGAGUGUCUCAGAAGUGCGAAUCUGACGAUAGGCCUCACCAAGAGUAUGUUCUGUUUUAAAGAGUUGAGGUACUUAGGUUUUAUAAUCGGAGGCGGGGUCCUAAAAACCGAUCCUGACAAAAUACGGUUAGAAAUCUAAAAAUUUCAAGAAGCCCUAGGGAUAUGAGAAGCUUUUUAGGAACAGCGGGCUGGUACCGCCGUUUUAUCAAAAGUUUUGCAAGUAUUUCCGCCCCCUUGACAGACGCUUUGAAAAAAAGUAUUACAUUUACCAUAGCUCAAAAGUCAUAGAGGCUUUCGAGAACUGAAAAUAGCGCUGACCACAGCUCCACUACUUAAGCUUCAAGAUUUUUCAAAAUAAUUUUUUAUACAAUGUGAUUCUUCAGAUUGUGGAAUAGGAGCAGUAUUGUUCCAGAAAGGCGAUAAUGAUGAAGAGUUCCCCAUAGCCUCUUACUCCCAGAAGCUAAACAGUUGCCAAAAGAACUACAGCGUGACUGAAAAGGAGUGUCUGACGGCCGUUAUGGCUGUGAAAAUGUUCAGACCUUAUGUAGAACUAAUGAAAUUCACAGUCAUAACGGAAAUGGCUAAUGGAUGUAAAAGACUUGAGUGGGAGACCCGCCAGAUGGAGUUUAAUGUUGCAGGGGUAUAACUUCGAAAAUGAGCAUCAAAAAGGCAAGGAUAAUGUGGUGGCAGACACGCUAUCCCGCCUUGAAGUCGUCGAGGAAUAUGAUGUGGUCGAUGACUUAUUUCGAAACAACAGAAUUUGAAAGUCCAGAAUAUAAAAAUUUAAUAGAAGAAAUACAGAAAAACCAACAUAAAUUGCCUGAUUAAAAAAUAGAAAACGGUUACAUUUUCAAACGCACAAAACCAGAAACUGAAUUGAAUUCUGUUGAACUGCCUUGCAAGCUUUGAAUCCCAGACAGAUUAACCCAUUUGUUAAUCGAAAAGGCACAUGAUGAGCUAACCUCAGCUCAUGGCGGCAUAGCUAAGAUGCUGCACCGCCUGCAAAUAUUUUAUUAUUGGCCGAAAAUGGUACAACAGGUGAAGCAGUAUAUAUAUUCAACUGCCAAACAUGUAAAGAAACGAAACCUGUCAAUAGAAAUACACGACCGACAAUAGGUUGUGAAGUCGUAACAGAACGCCCAUUUCAAAAAUCUUAUAUGGAUUUUUUAGUACAAGAGAUAUGUAGAAAAUUCGGAGUUCCCGAGACCAUUCAUACAGAUUAUGGGGCCCAAUUAACAGCUAAAGGAUUCAAGGAAAUGGUUGAAAUGUCUAAGAUCAA